UUCGGAUUGAAGAUGUCAUUCGGGUCCAAGAUGGACCAAAGGAUGUCAAUCCUAAUCCUUCCACAGUUAACAUGGUGGAGGAUCAGGCCCGGCUAAGGCCCUGUGCAGGGUGAGCAACUGCAUAGGGCCCCCAAUUUAUAGGGGCCCAAUUAAAUAGGUUGUUUGCCCAAAGUAAAAAAAAAAUUAAUUAAUGAAUAACGUUUCACGCGUGUACUCUGUUGUGUUGUUCUUGACCUCUUUCUUCCAAUUUCGAAAACACAAUUAAUGAAGAUUGAGUUCCCAUUUCAUUCCCCAAAAUAUUCAUUUUCAAGAUUUAUUUGAUUUAUUUGCCCAAAGGAAAAUCAUUAUACUGAUGUUCUACUGCAACUCCAUUAUCAACCAAACCUUUCUCAACGUCUUCGUUUGGAAAAUCAGUUUCAACUUUAUAAUUCUUUGACUUAUUCUCUUCUGUUUCUAUCAAUUAUUUACCUAUUAAUUCCUUUUUUUUUUCCAGAUUUAGUGUUCGAUAUGUUCUAAAGGGACAACAACAUUGUGGCUUGUGAAACAAUUUGUUAAUAAUGGGCGUAUUUAUCAUUCUUUGAAACUUCAGGCUUUACAGGAUGUGGUUACAGCUUAUGCAACUGUUAAAGAAAAGGGCCCUUAAUUUGUACGAGACGGCCUUGUGGAGGAUGGUAAGUCAAAGGAGUCUUCUAAUCCUAAGAAGAGGGUUAACAAUUUCACCAAAGGCAACAAUUGGAAGAAGCCUAAGUUUGGUGGAGGUGCUCAACGAGGUUGUUGGGAAUGUGGAAAGCCCGGUCAUUUUAAGAAGGAUUGCACCAUUUGGAAGAAGAAGAUGAACAAAAAGAAUGGUGG